UCCUCCUUGCAAGUUUGCAACCGAGUUACCGAAGGGUUUAUUGUCUCUGUAUACGUUAUUCACUCUGAAUCAAACCCGUCGCUUCUUCCCUUCAAUUCUCUCCGGCUACUUCUUAGGUUUCAUCUUUCUCCAUUUGCUUUUAAAAAAGCAUUCUUUUUGCUCACGCUAAUAGAAGUUUCUUUAAUUCUUUACUUUUCUAUUAGCUCUGAUUCACAAAGAAGGGCUUGCAUUUGUUGUUUAGCUUUGUUUUUUAUAAUUUUUUUUCCUGGGUGUUGUUAUUCUUGUUGUAAUAUGCUCCAAGCUUACUUCUUUUGGGGAGAAUUUUGACAGAUAUGCUUGUGGUGAAUGCUUAGUUGUCUUAAGGGAAUAACAAUAACAAGAAAAAACAAUGGGGAAGAAGAGAAAACACAGUGAGACGGAGGUGGUGGCACCGCCUAAGAAGGAUAUGAGUGCUGAGGAGAGACCUAAAAGGACCCUAUUGGGUUGGAAAGACAAGAGUGAAGAAGUGAAGAAAGAAAGUGAUUCCGCAGGUUUCAGGAACAGAGAGAAGGUCCUGGUGACUUGCUCUCGUCGCAUUAAUUUUAGGUACCGGCAUUUGAUGUUGAAUAUGGUGUCGCUCUUGCCCCACUGUAAGAAGGAUAACAAGGUCGAGUCGAAGGCUAGUAAGGGCUCCACUUUGAACGAGCUGGUCGAGCUGAAAGGUUGCUCUUCCUGCCUUUUUUUCGAGUGCAGGAAGCAUCAAGAUCUUUAUCUAUGGAUGGCGAAAUGCCCCAACGGGCCAUCUGUCAAAUUUUUAGUUAAUGCUGUGCACACAAUGGAGGAACUGAAGCUUACUGGGAAUCAUCUAAAAGGGGCUCGUCCUAUUUUGACAUUCUCGGACAAUUUUGACAAAGAUGCUCAUUGGAAAAUUUUGAAAGAGAUGAUAAUUCAGAUAUUUGGAAUACCAAAGGAACACAGGAAAUCUAAGCCUUAUCAUGAUCAUGUGUUUGUUUUCUCCAUUGUUGAUGACCACAUAUGGUUCCGGAAUUAUCAGAUAUCUGUUCCUCAUAAUGAAGCAGAUAAAGUGCCCCGAUGGGGUGUUGAGAAUAUGACCCUUGUUGAGGUUGGUCCACGGUUCUGCUUGAACCCAAUCAAGAUAUUCAGUGGCAGCUUUGGAGGACCUACCCUAUACGAGAAUCCAUUUUACAUAUCACCAAAUCAGAUUCGAGCGUUGGAAAAAAGGAAAAAGGCUGGGAAGUAUGCAAAGAAAGUCAAAGCAAAGACAAGGAGAAAGAUGCACGAGCUAUCUGACCCAUUGGAGCCUGACGAAUUUGCGGAUAUGUGGAAAGAAUAAUACAUUUGAAGACCUCAUACUUUCUGGUGACAAGUAGCAGAAUUUCCUCUUCACCUUCUAUUAUUGCUGACAGAGACCUCUACAAAUGAUAUUGACAUCCAGAUCUUACUGUGUACUUGACAAGAACUACCGAGGCUGCAGCUAUUUCUUCCUCCCCGAAACAGUAGUGCGAGUGAAUCCGAUGGGCAAGUAUAUUUGGUUUGCUAGCCAGACUAAAGGGAGUCAGGAGUAACUGUUUGUGUUAAUUUGGUGUCGAACAUGAAACAUCUCGCCAAAAAUUAGUACCACCCAUUUCUCUUGAGACAGGAUGUAGAAUUGGCAGUAUCUCCCACAAAUUAGGUGAAAACUUAUCGAUUACUCGCUUUGUUCUGUCGAACACGACACUAUUUAUCCAUUCUAAGUAAUGACUAGACCCAUUUGUUUGAA